CCAGGUAUCCUAGCCACUAGACCACAUGGAAGAAAAGAUGGAGAUGCUGGGUAUCUCCAUCCAUCUGUUCUCCCACGUGGUCUAGUGGUUAGGAUACUGG